AGCAGCCGCGGUAAUUCCAGCUCCAAUAGCGUAUAUUAAAGUUGUUGCAGUUAAAAAGCUCGUAGUUGAAUUUCGGGAUCAAUAUGUCGGUCGUGCCUUGGUACGUACUGGUAUCAUUGGUCUCUCCUUUCUGACGAACCAUGAUGUCAUUAAUUUGGUGUUAUGGGAAGUUAGGACUGUUACUUUGAAAAAAAGUUAGAGUGUUUAAAAGCAGGCUUUAGCUUGAAUACAUUAGCAUGGAAUAAUGAAAUAGGACGUUCGAACCUAUUUUUGUUGGUUUCUAGGAUCAACGUAAUGAUUAAUAGGGAUAGUUGGGGGCAUUAGUAUUCAAUUGUCAGAGGUGAAAUUCUUGGAUUAUUGGAAGACUAACUACUGCGAAAGCAUUUGCCAAGGAUGUUUUCAUUAAUCAAGAACGAAGUUAGGGGAUCGAAGACGAUCAGAUACCGUCGUAGUCUUAACCAUAAACUAUGCCGACUAGGGAUCGGAUGAUGUUAAUUUUUUAAUGACUCACUCGGCGCCU
rnacentral:misc_RNA from 1 species